UACCAGCACCCCGAGUGGUCGGGACGAUUAUUGGGCCUAAAGCAUCCGUAGCCGGUUCUACAAGUCUUCCGUUAAAUCCACCUGCUUAACAGAUGGGCUGCGGAGGAUACUAUGGAGCUAGGAGGCGGGAGAGGCAAGCGGUACUUAGUGGGUAGGGGUAAAAUCCGUUGAUCCAUUGAAGACCACCAGUGGCGAAGGCGGCUUGCCAGAACGCACUCGACGGUGAGGGAUGAAAGCUGGGGGA
rnacentral:rRNA from 1 species